GUGCACAGCCAUCCCACCCUGAGUGUGCCUAACCUCAUCUGAUCUCAGAAGCUAAGCAGGGUUGAGCUUCGUUAGUACUUGGAUGGAGAGGCCAAGUAACCCAUGCUCU
ensembl:rRNA 5S_rRNA 5S ribosomal RNA